AUUGAACGCUGGCGGCAGGCCUAACACAUGCCAGUCGAGCGGAAGAAGGGAGCUUGCUCCAGGAUACAGGGGAGGAGGGGUGAGUAGUGCCUGGGAACCUGCCUGGUAGUGGGGGAUAACGUCCGGAAAUGGGCGCUAGUACCGCAUACGUCCUGAGGGAGAAAGUGGGGGAUCUUCGGACCUCACGCUAUCAGAUGAGCCUAGGUCGGAUUAGCUAGUUGGUGGGGUAAAGGCCUACCAAGGCGACGAUCCGUAACUGGUCUGAGAGGAUGAUCAGUCACACUGGAACUGAGACACGGUCCAGACUCCGACGGGAGGCAGCAGUGGGGAAUAUUGGACAAUGGGCGGAAGCCUGCUCCAGCCAUGCCGCGUGUGUGAAGAAGGUCUUCGGGUUGUAAAGCACUUUUAGUGGGGAAGAAGGGCAGUAAGUUAAUACCUUGCUGUUUUGACGUUACCAACAGAAUAAGCACCGGCUAACUUCGUG
rnacentral:rRNA from 1 species